rnacentral:rRNA from 1 species
GGGGGGGGGGGGGGGGGGGGCGGGGGGGGGGGGGUCGGGCGGCGGCAGAGGAAGGGCUGGCUCUUACGGGUGGCGAGUGGCGGACGGGUGAGGAAUACAUCGGAAUCUACUUUGUCGUGGGGGAUAACGUAGGGAAACUUACGCUAAUCCCGCAUACGACCUACGGGUGAAAGCAGGGGAUCUUCGGACCUUGCGCGAUUGAAUGAGCCGAUGUCGGAUUAGCUAGUUGGCGGGGUAAAGGCCCACCACGGCGACGAUCCGUAGCUGGUCUGAGAGGAUGAUCAGCCACACUGGAACUGAGACACGGUCCAGACUCCUACGAGAGGCAGCAGUGGGGAAUAUUGGACAAUGGGCGCAAGCCUGAUCCAGCCAUACCGCGUGGGUGAAGAAGGCCUUCGGGUUGUAAAGCCCUUUUGUUGGGAAAGAAAAGCAGCAGGUUAAUACCCCGCUGUUCUGACGGUACCCAAAGAAUAAGCACCGGCUAACUUCGUG